rnacentral:tRNA from 1 species
UAGCUAUUAAUUUAAAAUUAAAAUAUUAAUUUUGUAAAUUAAAAAUAUGAAAUACUAUAUAGUUAA